UCUACUCAUUGCACUUAUAGCAUAAUAAAAGCUCUGCCCAUUCUAGUUAAUACACGGUCAGGGCUCUGCCUACGCUACUUAUUGCACAGUAUAUAGCUUUGCUUACGCUACUCAUAGCACGGUUAAUAGCUCUGCUUACGCUAUCCGUUGAACGGUAAAUACAUAUUCUUACGCUACUUAUUGCUCAGUAAAUAGCUCUGUUUGCGCAACUUAUUUCACGGAAAAUAUCUCUCUGCUUAUUUUACUUAGUGCACGGUAAAUAGCUCUGCUGUUACUAAUUGCACAGCAAAUAGCUUUGUUUACGCUACUUAUUGCACAGUAAAUAGCUCUGCUUACGCUACUUAUUGCAUAGUUAAUAGCUCUGCCUACGCUACUUAUAACAUGGUAAAUAGCUCUGCUUUCGCUACUCAUUGUACGGUAAGAGUUCUGACUUCGAUACGUAUUACACGGUAAAGAGCCAUGUCUUCAAAAAUAUAAACUUCCUUGUGGGACACGUAUCGUAAAUACAGCAAUAGUAUUGAUAAACUUAUUUGACAAUAUACAAUUAAAGAUCAUAUUCAUUUAUAAUGAUACAAAAAUUCACUUACUGCUUAAUUUAAUUUGUGGUUCAUUCUGUACCAAUGAAGGUCCAAACACUGGGUGUCGCAGUAAUUGAACACCUGCGGUUGGAGGUAGUUUGGCCUUUACCAAUGAAGGCCAAGAAAAAAGGUUGAACGUGUAUACACGAUGGGGGGUUUUCGUUGACGAUAUGUUUAAAAUGCAAUCAUCUUUCCCCGCUUGGCUGAAAAUACCACUUGGCAGGAAGUUAACAUCCAUGUUGUAUGCUGUCGGAAAUAGUCGCCAUUCCAACGAAGAAGUGCACGCGAUGAUGGUCAACGAUUUAAAGCAGUUUUCGGCAAUUCUAGAGUGUAUUAUGCUUCUAAGGCGACCAAAAAAUACGUUAUGGGAGACCGGAUAGGUGAUGUUGACUGCGCGGCGUUCGGUAUCUUGUCCCAGGUCCGCUGGUGCACGCCGUCAGCCGUUUCGGGAGCUGCUAUGUUACAAGGUGCUGAAUUAAAGAAUAUCACAGACUACAUGGACAGAAUAAAGAACGACUUUUGGCCAGACUGGGAAGAAAUAACAAGUCAGGCGGCACAGAAAGCUUUAUGAUGAUGGAAUUAUACAAAUUAUUCAAAAGUUUGAGGACAAGCAACGGAAAAAAAUACCAUCGAUGUCGUUGAUUUGCAGAAAUUCAAUAGGGCACCUUAUUGAGUCGAAUUCGUAAAGCAUCUUGGGGAACAUUACUUUGCAAACUUUGCAAAAGCAAAACAAAGAUGUCUAAAUCAUAAAUGAAUAUGUGACUGAACAAAUUAUACAUUUCUCCAUAAUGUUAAAACUCGGCACCAUUGCGACUUCUGUCUGUGCUAAAAAACGGCGCGAGUUUGCCCACUGUCCAUAAUGGCAACGCACGGGUCCAGUGUGCCCUCUGUGCAUUAUGCUUAAACACGGCGCGAGUUUGCCCACUGUCCAUAAUGACAACACACGGGUCCUAUAUUCCCCCUGUCCAUAAUGGCAACACACAGCACUGCUGUUUUCUCUGUCCGUAAUGGCAACUCAUGGGUCCAAUGUGCCAUCUGUCACAAAUGGCAACACACGGCGCAAGUGUUUCCUCUGUCCAUAUUGUUCAAUUGCUCAACAAUAUUAUGGGUUUGAUGGACUGGUCUGACCCUCAGUGGCGAAAACUCUCAGCUCCCUUUUACAUAUCCCUUCCCUUGCCCACAACGGCUGAAUGGUCAUAAAACUAGCUGAACUAUACAAACAACUGUUUAAAAGUAGUAGAAUACAAGGGACGAUACCAUUUCAAUAAACACGAUAACUAAACCCUGAUGCAUAUUGCAGACACGACAUACUGGAUAUACUGUGAUAAUUACUGUGUGUUUAUUGUUAUUAAUGGUUAUCAUUCGAAUCCCCCUUAUGUACGCGUCAUUUGUAAUUGGAAAUACAUAUUUGGACAUGAAUAAGUCUGAAUACUUGAAGACUAGUUUACCCCCUCAUUUAUUAUUUUCGCUAACCGUUCCAAGUCGGUAACCCCAACUCUUAUUAAU